rnacentral:lncRNA from 10 species
CGAGAAGAGAAGGGGCCGAAACUUGCUUUUUGCUGAAAGGAAGAGAAAUCACAGAGUUGCAAAUCCUCCCUGCUCAGCUUCAUCAGCACUUAAUACCAUUUGCUCGAGCUCCUGGGUGAGAGCUACAAAACUAGUCCCUGAGCCCAGUGGGAGGAUCCACUAGUCCACACCCUCGACCUCUGUCAGCCUCUUCAGCCCCUUCUCGCUUGAGGAGAAUGUGAUCGUUGUUACAGGCAUCAGAAAAAGGCAAGUUGGGGGUAAGCACCUUAUUUUUCUCACACCCCUGCCCCUUGUAUUUACCCAGUGGUUUAACCUGGUUUGAGCCAACAUCAUCUUGCCUGGAUUGGCAAGUCUCCUGAUUGGUCUCCCUGCUUUUCACUUCAUUUCAUUUUUUUAUCAGAACAUGCCACACCUCUGCUCAAAACCUGGUUCACCCAGAUUUAAAGCUUUACUGUGGUGUCUACAAGACCCUCAUGAUCUUACCCCCACCCAGUCACCUCUGUGACUGACAUUUCAUACAACUCUCUUUAAUUUUGCUCCCGACACAG